UACGUAGGGGGCGAGCGUUGUCCGGAUUUAUUGGGCGUAAAGGGCGCGUAGGCGGUUUCUUAAGUUUGAAGUGACAGUGCUCGGCUUAACUGAGCAAGGCCUUUGAAAACUGGGGAACUUGAGGACCAGAGAGGGACAUAGAAUUCCGGGUGGAGUGGUGAAAUGCGCAGAUAUCCGGAGGAAUACCAAAGGCGAAGGCAGUGUCCUGGAGGGUGACUGACGCUGAGGCGCGAAAGCGUGGGGAGCGAACAGG
rnacentral:misc_RNA from 1 species